ACCGGCACUACCGCAAGUCGUCGACCGCAAAAUAUCCCCUGGCACCCGAUUUUGGAUGCGUGUAACAUCAAAUUAAACGGUUACGCCUGCUUUGUCUAUUGCGUACGCCAAGGGAUUGCAAAGGGAUGAAGAACGUCACGUCGAAUACGCAAUGCGUUUUUCAUCAUGGUGACGUCAAUUUCCUGCUGGUCGCGAGGGGCUUUUUCAGCAAGGACGCCCUGC
rnacentral:misc_RNA from 1 species